GACGAACGCUGGCGGCGUGCUUAACACAUGCAAGUCGAACGGAGCACCCCUGAAGGAGUUUUCGGACAACGGAUGGGAAUGCUUAGUGGCGGACUGGUGAGUAACGCGUGAGGAACCUGCCCUUCAGAGGGGGACAACAGUUGGAAACGACUGCUAAUACCGCAUGAUACAUUUGAAUCGCAUGGUUUGAAUGUCAAAGAUUUAUCGCUGAAGGAUGGCCUCGCGUCUGAUUAGCUAGUUGGUGGGGUAACGGCCCACCAAGGCGACGAUCAGUAGCCGGACUGAGAGGUUGGCCGGCCACAUUGGGACUGAGAUACGGCCCAG
rnacentral:rRNA from 1 species